rnacentral:lncRNA from 1 species
GCCGUGGUAGUAGCACGUGUAGAUGUUGUUGCUGGUCGUCGCGGAGCAUCACCUCUCCGGAUUUAUGGUCGGCGCAGCGAUCACUCGCCUCGUCCAGUCCUUCUCCGUCGUCUUCCUCUACUGGUUCUACGUCUUCUCCCUAACUUCCCUGUAACCGUAGCCGUAGCUGGAGUUCAUACUAGUAGCAUAAUCAAGAUAGCUAGCUAGUACACUGAGUAACAAGGUACACAAGCAAGUACUGUUACAAGGUGUGUUUUAUAUACAAGAUAUAAGAGGAAGUGAAACUGCUGUAAGUUGUUGAGGGGUGACCAUGUCAAGUGGGACCUCUUUCGGGUCGAGCCAAGGGACCCGGAGCUCCAGGUCUGCCGAGGAUUGCGCGGACCUCCGGGCCCAGAUGGAGAAGAGGAGGAAGAGGAGGAAGGAGUCCAACCGGGAGUCGGCACGCCGAUCUAGGGUGCGCAAGCAACAACACCUCGACGACCUCUCCUCGCAGGUUUGUUACGCCCUUCCAAAGUAUGCUAUUUAUAUAAGUGCACAUAAGCAUAAAGUUUGUAGAUGUUCAUAAUUUAAUUGUUUGGCUGUCAUAAAUAUUUAAAACAUGUUUUUUUAUGAGAGCAUGCGCCAAGCGUGUGAAAACAGAAAAUCGACGAAAACGAAGGCCCACCUAAAAACCUGAAGAAAAAAAAACUAAAAUAUCUGCUCAGACAAAACACGGUUCUUGUGAUCUCCAUGUCCUACCAAUUGCCGCCUACCUAACACUUUGAACAAUACUACAAAUUCCAUCAUCAUGAGUUGCUUAAUUUAUAACAGGUUUGAGUUUUUUUUAUCAAACUAAUAGCAUAGCAUAUCGCAUCUUCUAUAUGAAAGAAAAACUAAUAAGAACAUGAGAAGAAAAAAAGGAUCUACAUGUUUGCUAAGAAGAAAAUAUUUUUGUGACAAAAACAGGUGGAUCAGCUCAAGAACCAGAGCCAACAAAUGAACAUGGUGCUGGGCAUGACCACCCAGAACCUUGUGGCGCUGCAAGCACAGAACUCGGUGAUGCAGACACAGAAGAUGGAGCUGGAGAGCAGGCUGUGCGCCCUAGGCGAGAUCAUCUGCUGCAUGAACUCAAUCACCAACGCUGCGAAUCCCGCUGCCGCCAUGGGCGCCACAGCA